rnacentral:rRNA from 1 species
CCUAUGGGCCACACGACCCUGAACACGCCCUAUCUUAUCUAAUCUCAGAAGCUAAGCAGGGUGGGACCAGGUUAGUACUUGGAUGGGAGAAAUCCUUUAUUCUUCUGC